rnacentral:snRNA from 1 species
AGCUUUGCGCAGUGGCAGUAUCGUAGCCAAUGAGGUUUAUCCGAGGUGAGAUUAUUGCUAAUUGAAAACUAAUCCAGCAAAACAGAGAAACAAUUCCAAUCUCUGAUUUACAUGCUUCUCCUGGCAAUUAAUAAUCCAGUAACUUCUCUAGCUAUCUUCCCCAUAAUGU